GUUGCAUGAUUUUCUAACUAGAUGUGUAUGUGAUUUUUAGAUGCUUAAUUGCAGUUAGUUAGUUGCUUAAUUUUUGGAAAUGGUUUGAAAAAUGCUUUCAAGUAAUUGCAGUUACUUAGUUGCUUAAUUUCAUUUUUAAGAUGAGAUAUGAGUUUCUAACUAGAUGUGUAUGUGAUUUUUAGAACUGUUGUGACUUCAAGUUUGUUUACUUAUGCAUUGUUAUGACUUUGAAUCCAAGAUGAAUAAUAUUGGAAUGGUUUUAGAUAGUUUUACUGUAAAACCAUUAGAUGUACUUAAUGGUUUUGCCUUUGAAUCCAAGAUGCAUAAUGUUAUAUAUAAU
rnacentral:lncRNA from 1 species